AUUGGGUAACAAGUUUCCCCUUUUUUUAAGAGCAUUUCCUUCUUUCUAAUGCUCCUCAUUGUGUUUUGUUUUGUCAUAUCUUUACAGGUUAGAGUGGUUAAUGGUGUUCCACCUACAGCUGACUAUUCCUUUGCCAAAUAUAACAAGUCAGUUGAUAUCUUGAAAUACACAGACGAUGAGUAUUGGAGAAUCAUUUAACGGAUCCCCUAUGGACCAAGGAAGAGACAUCUCAGUUGUUUGAACUCUGUGAAAGGUUUGAUCUCCGUUUCACUGUCAUUGCUGAUCGCUUUCUUACCACGGACUGUAGAGGAAUUGAAGGAUCGUUACU